rnacentral:rRNA from 1 species
UAAUACAUCGGAACGUACCUUAUCGUGGGGGAUAACGCAGCGAAAGCUGUGCUAAUACCGCAUACGCCCUGAGGGGGAAAGCGGGGGAUCGCAAGACCUCGCGCGAUUAGAGCGGCCGAUGCCUGAUUAGCUAGUUGGUGGGGUAAAAGCCCACCAAGGCGACGAUCAGUAGCUGGUCUGAGAGGACGAUCAGCCACACUGGGACUGAGACACGGCCCAGACUCCUACGGGAGGCAGCAGUGGGGAAUUUUGGACAAUGGGGGCAACCCUGAUCCAGCAAUGCCGCGUGAGUGAAGAAGGCCUUCGGGUUGUAAAGCUCUUUUGUCAGGGAAGAAACACCGGCUCUAACACAGUCCGGGAAUGACGGUACCUGAAGAAUAAGCACCGGCUAACUACGUGCCAGCAGCCGCGGUAAUACGUAGGGUGCGAGCGUUAAUCGGAAUUACUGGGCGUAAAGCGUGCACAUGCGGUUAUACAAGACAGGCGUGAAAUCCCCGGGCUUAACCUGGAGAAUGGCGCCUGUGACUGUAUAGCUAGAGUGUGUCAGAGGGGGGUAGAAUUCC